AUACGCAACAAGAAACGCGCCGCGAUGGCCGCCUCUGUGGUGUCCAUGGCCACGCCGCCACCAAUGCAACCGACGGCCACUCACACGCUGGCUAGCGUCCGCCGGCCGCCACAAGCCACGCCGCCACCUCUCUACCAAGAGACUAUCAAAGACUCGCCACCGAGUUCGCCCAGUUCAGAGCGCCCGUUGAAGCCUAAAUUGGAAAAUAGG